UAACACCAAAUGUCUCUGUCAACAGUCGACUGAACAUAUUCAUAUCACGCUGAACUUUCGCAGAAGUUGUUUCUAUUCAAACCCUCCGCAAGUUCCCCCCAUCAAAGCCCAGUGAUUGAAACCUACUGACCCUGCAAUGGUAUAAACACACACACACACCAAAAAGUAUGGGUGUGUGUUAGUCAAAGCUGUUCACAGCCUCUGGCUCAUCCAUCCACAGUGUAAUCCAGUAGAGGAGAGGAACAGAGAGAGACUGAAUAAUGGUGCUUUGUAGUGGAAGAGAGAGAGAGAGAGAGAGAGAGAGACAAGACAGUGCUUAUCCAGAGGAGCUGGUAAAUAUAUAAUCUCCACAAACAGCCAAGGUCAGAAAAACAGCACCUGUUUCAGGCAUGCAGGCGAGGAAUGGCAUGGCAUGGAAUGAGAUGGAACCGAGAGGAAUGCAGCUCCUGGAACGGGAUCAGUGACUCCCUGUACACCACAGAAAGCUGAGAGCGGGCGGGCGAGUUUGAAUGCGGUGCCAAAAACAACAAGCAAGAAAGCAGCUGUGUGCAAGAGAGGCGGCUCACCCGAGGAAUCAAAGAUGGCCGACGAAGAAAGGAAAAUAGCAUAUCAAAGAAGGGUCCUACGUAAUUUGAGUUACUCAAUGUCUUUAAAUAAAUUAGCUUGGGUGGAGGCCGUGAAGAGUGUUACCACAUUACCAUUUUAGCCAAUGUAACCACGACUUAAAUGUUUUCUCAUUAAUUCCAAGACAAACAUUGUUUGUACAUUUCAAAUCAUUUCAAAUGCACAUAAAUAAAUGGACUUGCAAUCGGGCGAAGUAAGCUUUGAGACGGAUGUAAUGUUUUCCUGUUCAUGGACUAUCGUACUUUACUGGAGGAAAUUGGUACUAAAUAUAUAAAGAAUUGAAGAGGGGGGGGUGCAGGGUUUUUUUCAAAGGUUAAAUGACAAAGAGCUGCUUUCUACCGUGGCCAUGAGAAAAUGGCUGUGGGUCUUCAUCCAAUCGCCUCUCAAUCUCUGUCUCUACUACAGAACCAAUCCACUAAAGUAAACUGAACGUAAAG
rnacentral:lncRNA from 13 species